GACGAAUGCUGGCUGCGUGCUUAACACAUGCAAGUCGAACGGUGAAGGGGAGCUUGCUCCCCGGAUCAGUGGCGAACGGGUGAGUAACACGUGGGCAACCUGCCCCUCACUCUGGGAUAACUCCGGGAAACCGGGGCUAAUACCGGAUACGACCGGGAGCGACAUCGCUCCUGGUGGAAAGAACUUCGGUGAGGGAUGAGCCCGCGGCCUAUCAGCUAGUUGGUGGGGUAACGGCCCACCAAGGCGACGACGGGUAGCCGGCCUGAGAGGGCGACCGGCGACACUGUGACUGGGACACUGCCCAGACUCCUACGGGAGGCAGGAGUGGGGAAUAUUGCGCAAUGGGCGAAAGCCUGACGCAGCGACGCAGCGUGAGGGACGAAGGCCUUCGGGUUGUAAACCGCUUUCAGCGGGGACGGAGCGAAAGUGACGGUACCCGCAGAAGAAGCACCGGCUAACUACGUGCCAGCCGCCGCAGUAA
rnacentral:rRNA from 1 species